ACCACCACCACUACCACCACUGACCCACCCACCACCGCCACCACCACUUCUAACCCACCCACCACUUCCACCACCACUACUGAGACACCCACCACCACCACCACCACCACCGCCACAACUACAACCAGCUCGCCCUCUACCACCACCGAACCUCUGUGCCCGAAGGAGCUCCCGCAUUACUGGACAGAUUGUUACGGCAGCUACUACAGGUGCCAGGACUGCUACGUGACGUGCCGGGGAUGGCGCGUGCCUCGUCCUCCCUCACAUGCCAGUGUGGGCUGCCUAGCGAAGCACCUUUGCGGCGAAGUGAACCUAGAUUGCAGUAACCCAAGAAACUGCCGGCCAGUGCACCGGUGGGUGUGGGGCACAAGACCUCAUCAUUAUCCUGGACACCACUGGCAUUCCAAGGGGCGUCGCAUAUUCUAGAUGGCGGGUUUCAUGGAAGAAAUUACCUUGAUCACAUCCUAGUAUGUCCUUGAUCACCCUCCCUCCCUCCCCCCCAUCUCUCUCUCUCUCUCUC